rnacentral:ncRNA from 1 species
CUUAACACAUGCAAGUCAAACAGAAAGUGGUAUUUCUAAUUGCAGAUAGGUGAGUAACACGUAAGAACUUGCUAUUAGGAGGGAACAAAUGCUAAUACCUCAUAGGUUGAGGAGCAAAAGGAGGAAUUUGUUCAAUGAGGGGUUUGCGACUGAUUAUCUAGUUGAUGAGGUAAUAGCUUACCAAUGCGAUGAUUAAUAGCUGGUCCAAGAGGAUGAUCAAUCACACUGGGAUUGAGACAUGAUCUAGAAUUCUACGAGAGGCAAGAGUAGGGAAUUUUCCACAAUGGGUGAAAGCCACCUUAUUGG